rnacentral:lncRNA from 1 species
UUUUGUUUUCUUUUGACACAGUGAGGCUAGAUUUAAAGGCAGUGAGUGGAAGAGAAGGGUUCGACAACAAGAGAGGGUGGGUGGCAUUUAAUGUUAGCUGAAAAACCUCCAAAGUUAUGUUAAAAUCUGAAAAACCAUUCAUUUUUUGCCUCCAUUUUCGAAUCAUUUUUUGCUGUUCUAAAAUAAUUUUUGUGUCUGUAAUGCUGAGGUUGAGUUUGGAGAUCAUUUUGACAGUACUGACAUGCAAUGCCUCUAGAAUCACAUG